GUUCCAGGAAAACUUCAUUGGUGGCUUGCAGCAGUGGUUGAGUCGAGGCUGUUGAGCUGCCCACUGAACUCAGCCUUUGCGCCCUCUGCAGGCCUGGAGAAACAAAUGCUUCACAGCUGCUAGUGCUGAGAUUCAGCAGUUCAGUCCUUUCCACCAGUUUCUUGAAGGUUGGUCUCUUCAGGGGGUCAGCACUCCAACACCAUCUCAUUACCUCAUAACUGAAUGUGGAUCCAACUGGAACUCCAGGAUAUGGUGUGUUACCUGCAGACAGAUUCAUCUUAUAAUACCCUGAUAACAAGUGAUUUAUAGACACUCAGCACAUGUAAUCUGACAUGUAAUAUGGAUGAUAUCAGCUCGUACACACCAAGAGAGAAGAUCUCCCACAGUAAGAUGCCGUAGGACCAGAUAUCACUCUCAAAUGUGUACACGCAAGAAAACAGACUCUCUGGGGACAUCCACUUCACUGGGAGACAUGCCUGAACAAGAAACGCAUCAUUAAAGAUGCUGAACAAUGAAUUCCAUUGCAUCACAUGAAUGCAAUAGUGUGCGGUUAUUGAAGCCAUUGUAGAUAUGCGCUAUUCGUAGUCAACCAUGAUUAAAGAAAUAUUUUGACUUGCCCAUCUUUUUCUUUAAAAAAAUUUAAAAAAAAGCACUGGGUUACAGUGAGGCACUUACAGUGGAAGUCGAAGGGGGCCAAUUUUUGAACAUGAACCUCCUGAGACCCCGCAUGACUGCUGUGUGCAUUUCCCAUUUCCCUUUUUUUUCCUUUUUCUCCCCAAUUUCGAAUGCCCAGUUCCCAAAGCAUUCUAAGUCCUUGUGGUGGCAUAGGUACUCGCCUCAAUCCGGUUGCCGGAGGACAAAUCUCAGUUGCCUCCGCAUCUGAGAACGUCAAUCCGCGCAUCUUAUCACAUGGCUUGUUGAGCGUGUUACCGCAGAGACAUAGCCCACGUGGAGGCUUCAUGCUAUUCUCCGCGGCAUCCACGCACAACUCACGACGCGCCCCACCGAGAGCGAACCACAUUAUAGUGACCACGAGGAGGUUACCCCGUGUGACUCUACCCUCCCUAGCAACUGGGCCAAUUUGGUUACCUAGGAGACCUGACUGGAGUCACUCAGCACACCCUGGAUUCAAACUCUAGGGGUGGUAGUCAGCGUCUUUACUCGCUGAGCUACCCAGGCCCCCAGUAGCGGUAUCUUUGAUUUUUGACGGGAAUGACAACAAAGCUGUGAGGGACAAACUUACAGUCUCUUCAAAGGGUUGUACUGUUAAAGUGUUUUGGAUCAUUCUGCUGAAGAAAUAAUGAAAAAAAAAUCAUCUUUCCAAGAAACUUCAGUUAAUGGAAAACUGCAGAAAACAUGAGUUGUGGAAAAUUAGAUGUGAUCUAGGAGCUUUAUACAGUGGAUGCCACUGAAGAGACUGUAAGUCUAUCCCUCACAGCCUUGUUUUCUUUCACAUCAAAAAGGUCAAAGUCUUUUGUAAUGGGGGAAAAAAUUACUGAGUGCACCUUUAAAUCAAUGGGUUAUUUACUGUGUAAAAUCUAAAAAGAUAAGUUGAAUAUGGAUAUAGAGCC